GAUGAACGCUGGCGGCGUGCCUAAUACAUGCAAGUCGAGCGAACAGACGAGGAGCUUGCUCUUCUGACGUUAGCGGCGGACGGGUGAGUAACACGUGGAUAACCUACCUAUAUUACUGGGAUAACUUCGGGAAACCGGAGCUAAUACCGGAUAAUAUAUUGAACCGCAUGGUUCAAUAGUGAAUGACGGUUUUGCUGUCACUUAUAGCUGAAUCCGGGCCGGAUUAGCUAGUUGGUAAGGUAACGGCUUACCAAGGCAACGAUGCGUAGCCGACCUGAGAGGGUGAUCGGCCACACUGGAACUGAGACACGGUCCAGACUCCUACGGGAGGCAGCAGUAGGGAAUCUUCCGCAAUGGGCGAAAGCUUGACGGAGCAACGCCGCGUGAGUGAUGAAGGUCUUCGGAUCGUAAAACUCUGUUAUUAGGGAAGAACAAAUGUGUAAGUAACUAUGGACGUCUUGACGGUACCUAAUCAGAAAGCCACGGCUAACUACGUG
rnacentral:rRNA from 1 species